rnacentral:lncRNA from 1 species
GCCACCACAGACCCCGCAGAUCUUUCCAUCGCCAUCGCCACAGCUCUGGAUGCUGUAGCAGUGGUGGCAGCAGUGGCUGCUGUGGCAGCAGUGGAGGCUGCUGUGGCAGCAGUGGUGGUUGCUGUGGCAGCAGCUGUGGUGGUAGCCAGCAGUCUGGGGACUGCUGCUGAUCUGGGCCCUUGGACUUCAGACAAGCUGUGGAGACAGAAGUCAAAUACAGACAGAAGCCCUGACUCCACUCCUCUUUUCUGUUGUGCUCUAUAUUCUGGACUCUUGGUCAUCCUAUGCAAAGUUGUGACUUUCUCCUAAAAUGAACAGACUGCAAUAAUAAAAAUCUCCCCUUUCAAACAUGACUAAA